rnacentral:rRNA from 1 species
CCUACGGGCGGCAGCAGUAGGGAAUCUUUCACAAUGGGCGAAAGCCUGAUGGAGCAACGCCGCGUGCAGGAUGAAGGCCUUCGGGUUGUAAACUGCUUUUAUCAGCGAGAAAUAUGAUGGUAACUUAUGAAUAAGGAUCGGCUAACUACGUGCCAGCAGCCGCGGUCAUACGUAGGAUCCGAGCAUUAUCCGGAGUGACUGGGUGUAAAGAGUUGCGUAGGUGGGAUAAUAAGUAGCUAGUGAAAUCUGGUGGCUCAACCAUUCAGACUAUUAGCUAAACUGUUAAGCUCGAGACCGUUAGGGGCAGCUGGAAUGUCUAGUGUAGGAGUGAAAUCCGUAGAUAUUAGAAGGAACACCAAUAGCGAAGGCAGGAUGCUGGGACGGUUCUGACACUAAGGCACGAAAGCGUAGGGAGCAAACGGGAUUAGAUACCCCAGUAGUC